rnacentral:snoRNA from 1 species
CCCGAUGAUGUUUUUUCACAUAUAUAUACGCAAGGAAUUACCGGCGGAGACCUUUUGGUUGUUGAAGAUAUCAAUGGCUACUUCUGAGG